GGGGAAUAUUGCACAAUGGGCGCAAGCCUGAUGCAGCGACGCCGCGUGGAGGAUGAAGGCCUUCGGGUCGUAAACUCCUGUCUGGGGGAUGAAAACUGACAGUACCCCCGGAGGAAGCCCCGGCUAACUACGUGCCAGCAGCCGCGGUAAUACGUAGGGGGCGAGCGUUGUCCGGAAUUACUGGGCGUAAAGCGCGCGCAGGCGGCUUGUUAAGUCAGGUGUCAAAAUGCGGGGCUCAACCCCGUAUCGCACUUGAAACUGGCAGGCUUGAGUGCAGGAGAGGGAAGUGGAAUUCCUAGUGUAGCGGUGAAAUGCGUAGAUAUUAGGAGGAACACCAGUGGCGAAGGCGACUUCCUGGACUGUAACUGACGCUGAGGCGCGAAAGCGUGGGGAGCAAAC
rnacentral:rRNA from 1 species